rnacentral:rRNA from 1 species
UACGUAUGGUGCAAGCGUUAUCCGGAUUUACUGGGUGUAAAGGGAGCGCAGGCGGUACGGCAAGUCUGAUGUGAAAGCCCGGGGCUCAACCCCGGUACUGCAUUGGAAACUGUCGGACUAGAGUGUCGGAGGGGUAAGUGGAAUUCCUAGUGUAGCGGUGAAAUGCGUAGAUAUUAGGAGGAACACCAGUGGCGAAGGCGGCUAACUGGACGAUUACUGACGCUGAGGCUCGAAAGCGUGGGGAGCAAACAGG